GGGUCCAGCCCAUUCCGGGGCUGGAGGUAAAGAAUAUGGUCGGGCCGCCAUAU
rnacentral:ncRNA from 1 species